rnacentral:rRNA from 1 species
CGGCGGACGGGUGAGUAACACGUGGAUAACCUACCUAUAAGACUGGGAUAACUUCGGGAAACCGGAGCUAAUACCGGAUAAUAUAUUGAACCGCAUGGUUCAAUAGUGAAAGACGGUUUUGCUGUCACUUAUAGAUGGAUCCGCGUCGCAUUAGCUAGUUGGUAAGGUAACGGCUUACCAGGCAACGAUGCGUAGCCGACCUGAGAGGGUGAUCGGCCACACUGGAACUGAGACACGGUCCAG